rnacentral:lncRNA from 1 species
CAGUGUGCUCGGUUUUAUCCGGGCUGCAGUCGUGUGGUCCACAUUGCUCCUCCUCCCUUUCUCCCCUUUCACUUGAGGUCUCUUUGUCCAAGUGAACCACAAGGACAAGUUUGACCUGGUCCAGAGUUUCAUCCUUGAGACGACGACCCAAGUUUCUCCUCACCCAGGAUUUUGCCACUUCAAAGGGAUCGUGCCAGCUGUGAGUGGAACACAAGUUGGUCAGUUUCUCCACUUCCGCCUCCAUGACUUGUGUGUAAUGUUCUUGGAGGAUCAGCAUGGUGGUAUAUGCCCAGUUUUUGGCAUUUCCCUCUAUAAGUGUCUGUGUGGUGGUUCUGGGUGAUGUCGGCUUGAUGACAGUGGAGAGAUUGUGAAUUAGUCUGGUUAUGGUGGGUGGAGGCUCAUCUGCUGAGACGUUUUUCAGGUGAUGAGCCAUUUUAAUCACUGUGUAAAUAAUCCUAACUUUUAAUCCAAAAUCCGGAUCUGAGGAUCUGGGUCUUUGUUGCUGUGUAUUUUUAUAUUGUUCAUGUGUCGAAUUGUGUUGUUGUUUGUAGUACUUUUUAUACACGUUUUGUUGUUUAACACGUGAGUUUUUAUUGUUAUUGCCGGGACCAUUACGGUUCCGGCGAUCAAAAAAUUGCGGCUUGUAGCCUGGCUCUCGGUAGUAGCGUCGGGGGUAACUUCCCGUACGUGUGCCAGCUCUGGUUGCAGAAGCAUAGGAGCGGCGGUAGACUGUCUCUUGGAAGCGAGGGGGCUGGAGCUGACGCCAGGUUUGGUCGCGCUGCUUACCGCGGCCGCGCCUUCGUUCAACCACCGUCCAGCCGUCUUCCUCCUCCCAUCUGUUCAUGUCGGAGCUGCUCCGUAGAAAGCCUCUAUGCAGGUGCCCCAGGAGAUCCCGCGGACUCACAUGUGAGCAGGGGAGGCACGGGCUGGUUUAGGGAGAGGGAAAGGAAUUCCAUCGCCAAGAGCCGGCGACAGAAGUCCAUGCACAGGCCAUCCCCAUGCCCAGUGAAGGCCCUGCUAUUUCUCAUUCAGGCCCCGAGGAAAUUGUGUGUCCAAUUUGUGGAUCCACACCCUCUCCGCCUUACGCCUCUGACUCUGUGACCACCUGGGAUUGGCCUGUAAAACUGUGGCCUUUACAGCA